GGUCCCAUAACUCAGUUGGUUAGAGUGUCGUACUAAUAUUAUGAUUGCGUCGUAACAUUGGCAAAUGCGAAAGUCGUGAGUUCAAGCCUCACUGGGACCA